rnacentral:rRNA from 1 species
UACGUAUGGUGCAAGCGUUAUCCGGAUCUACUGGGUGUAAAGGGAGCGCAGGCGGCACGGCAAGCCUGAUGUGAAAGCCCGCGGCCCAACCGCGGGACUGCAUUGGGAACUACCGGGCUGGAGUGCCGGAGAGGUAGGCGGAAUUCCUAGUGUAGCGGUGAAAUGCGUAUAUAUUAGGAGGAACACCAGUGGCGAAGGCGGCCUACUGGACGGUGACUGACGCUGAGGCUCGAAAGCGUGGGGAGCAAACAGG